rnacentral:rRNA from 1 species
CCAAUAGCGUAUAUUAAAGUUGCUGCAGUUAAAAAGCUCGUAGUUGAAUUUCGGGACCAAUAUGUCGGUCGUGCUUCGGUACGUACUGUCAUAAUUGGUUUCUCCCUUCUGAAGAACCUUGAUGUCAUUAAUUUGGUGUCUUGGGGAAUCAGGACUGUUACUUUGAAAAAAUUAGAGUGUUUAAAGCAGGCUCGCGCUUG